ACAACUUCUCUGUGCUCUGUGGAAACUUAUGAAACUUGGUGGUGUACUCAGGAGCCAGGAUGAAAACCAGCAGCAUGGACCCAAGAAGUGUGGCCAGAGGGAAGAAACUUGAAGCCACGUGUCUACAGCAGUGUCCUGGCAGUCAGGAAUAAAUGGACACACAUUCCAAGGUCAUGAGAAAGAAAUGCAAUUAGUAUGUAAAACAGCGGCUCUCCUGGAAAUGACUGCUCCGGGGGCUGAGCUCAGAUGAGAAGAUUUACAACAGAGAAAAGCUGUGUGAAGCCUGUGGAUGUGCGGGAGACACCAACGUGGCAAAAAUCACUAAGGGCCCUAGAGGGCGACUGAGAAUUAGAAACAGGAUUUGAGCUACAGGUGAUGUUCUGUCUUUGAAGGUGGAGUCUUUAAACUUAGCGUCUCCUACAUGCUUUCUGCUCUCCCAAAUGCUACCCAAUAUGUGUUUUCAAUUGAACUUUGAAACUAACAUUCUAUGUUUCUGGAGAAAACUUAGAAGUCAUUAUGAAACUAAUAAUAGCAUCGAAGGUGCUGUUCAUUCAGACAGUGUCCCAGAGUUGGGGACAUAAAAAAAUGUCAUUCCUAAA
ensembl:antisense uncharacterized LOC110294793